rnacentral:rRNA from 1 species
GCUCAGAUUGAACGCUGGCGGCAGGCCUAACACAUGCAAGUCGAGCGGUAGCACAGAGAGCUUGCUCUCGGGUGACGAGCGGCGGACGGGUGAGUAAUGUCUGGGAAACUGCCUGAUGGAGGGGGAUAACUACUGGAAACGGUAGCUAAUACCGCAUAAYGUCGCAAGACCAAAGUGGGGGACCUUCGGGCCUCAUGCCAUCAGAUGUGCCCAGAUGGGAUUAGCUAGUAGGUGGGGUAACGGCUCACCUAGGCGACGAUCCCUAGCUGGUCUGAGAGGAUGACCAGCCACACUGGAACUGAGACACGGUCCAGACUCCUACGGGAGGCAGCAGUGGGGAAUAUUGCACAAUGGGCGCAAGCCUGAUGCAGCCAUGCCGCGUGUGUGAAGAAGGCCUUCGGGUUGUAAAGCACUUUCAGCGGGGAGGAAGGCGWUAAGGUUAAUAAC